rnacentral:lncRNA from 1 species
AAGAAACCAAUAUUUAAGCUGGAUUUUGAAGAGUGAAGAUAAUUUAUAAGACAAAGAGGGAACACAGUAGUCUCAACAACAGAAUGAAGCACUGAGCAAAGGCAAAGAAGUGAGCACAGCUAGAAUAACGUUGCACAUAGAGGCUAGUGGAAGAUGAGACUGAAAAAUGGCUUGGGACUACGUUGUCGAAGGCUUUUUCAGUUCUGUAUACUGGGAAGUCCAAGAUCAAGAUGCUGCCUGUGUAGGUUACUGGUGAAGACCGUCUUCCUGGUCACCUUUUCACUGUAUCCUUACAUGGCAGAGAGAGAGAGAGGGAGAGAUUAAAAAAUGCUGCUGUUUUUCUAACAAGGACACAAGGACACUAAUUCCAUCAUGCAGGCCCUACUGUCAUGACCUCAACUAAUCCUAAUUAUCUCCCAAAGGCUCCAACUCCAAAGAAAGUAGCAAUGAAAUGAAGGCUUCAAUAUAUAAAUUUGGGAUGGGGAAAUAAUUCAACCCAUAUCACCCAAAAGAUAUUUAUGUGUUGUAUAACUUUCUUCACUUCUUUUUUAACAAAACCUCUUUACUUCUCAUUUUUCUGUCUGUAUUUGAAGACAACAAAAUAACUUAUUUAAAGUGCUUUAUUUUUAAGCCUACCUCUUUUGUUUAUUUGUUUGUUUGAGACUGAAUCUCACUCUGUCACCCAGGUUAGAGUGCAGUGGUGCAAUCUCAGCUCACUGCAACCUCCACCUCCCAGGUUCAAGCAAUUCUUUUGCCUCACCCUCCCAAGUAGCUGGGACUACAGAUGCAUGCCACUGCACCUGCCUAAUUUUUGUAUUUUAAGUAGAGACAGAGUUUCACAAUAUUGGCCAGGCUGGUCUCAAACGCCUGACCUCGUGAUCAGCCCACCUUGGCCUCCCAAUGUGCAGGGAUUAUAGGUGUGAGCCACCGCGCUCAACCUUAAGCAUAAGUUUUAAAAAUAUAUUUCGCUGAGUAUAGUGGGUAGUAAUAAAAAUAGCUAGCAUUUAUUGAUACUUGCUAAUGGUGUAGGGAGAAGCAAUGUUCUAAGAGCUUGCAGGUAUUAAACAUAUUUAAUCUUCAUGAAAACUCUAUUAGGUAGUCAAUAUUAUUUUCAUCUGACAGAAAACUUUUUCUAAGAGGGUCUAAAUAGCUUAUUCAGAAACCUGUAAAGGGCCAAGUUUUGAAGCUAUGCAGCCUGCUUUCAGAUCAUAUCCUCCUACUCAUACACCUGUAAUAUAUCUAUGCCUUUACAACAUUAGAUAAUAAAUACUAUCUUGUUUUAAG